rnacentral:misc_RNA from 1 species
CCGAGUUUUCAACUCCCAAACCCCAAUGUGAACAUACCUAUUCUGUUGCUUCGGCGGGGUCGCCCCGGGGCGCGCGGCCGCAAGGCCAGCCCCGGACCCAACGUGCACCCCGCCGGAGGAUACCAAACUCUUCUGUUUCUCACAGCGGUUACAUUCUGAGUGGCUCCAUCGCGAGCAAAACAAAAAAUGAAUCA